rnacentral:rRNA from 1 species
AAUGAACGUUAGCGGCGUGGAUUAGGCAUGCAAGUCGAGCGAGAAGAUUUAGAAAGAUACUUCGGUUGAUUUCUAAAUUGGACAGCGGCGAAAGGGAGAGUAACGAGUAGAUAACGUACCCGAGGGUCCGGGAUAGCUGCGGGAAACUGCAGGUAAUACCGGAUAAUGUUUCCGAACCAAAGAUUUAUUGCCCUCGGAGCGGUCUGCUUACUAUUAGCUUGUUGGUGGGGUAACGGCCUACCAAGGCGAAGAUGGUUAACGGGUGUGAGAGCAUGACCCGUCUCACUGGGACUGAGACACUGCCCAGACACCUACGGGUGGCUGCAGUCGAGAAUCUUCCGCAAUGGACGAAAGUCUGACGGAGCGACGCCGCGUGAUGGAUGAAGGCCCUCGGGUUGUAAACAUCUGUCGUAGGUUAGGAAAUUUUGACCGAUCCUAGGAGGAAGCACAGGCUAAGUUCG